rnacentral:rRNA from 1 species
UACAGAGGUGGCAAGCGUUGUUCGGAAUUACUGGGCGUAAAGGGCGCGUAGGCGGUCGUGACAAGUCACUUGUGAAAUCUCCGGGCUUAACUCGGAACGGUCAAGUGAUACUGUCGGACUAGAGUACAGAAGGGGCAACUGGAAUUCUCGGUGUAGCGGUGAAAUGCGUAGAUAUCGAGAGGAACACCUGCGGCGAAGGCGGGUUGCUGGGCUGAUACUGACGCUGAGGCGCGAAAGCUAGGGGGAGCGAACGGG